UUGGCUCAAAAAACAUUAAUUCAUUAGCACAACCAUCAAUCCAAUAACAAUAGAUACCCUAAGAUUAAAAGGUUUCCAAGAACAUCGAAGAAAAUAUUUUGGCAACAGUAAUUAUUCGAAGACAACAAAAAAUGCAAAUGAAAUAGAUGAAUUAGACCUCCUCCUAAUCCCCAUCAAAGCAGAUGAAGCGAACAAUCUUCUCAUCCACAUCAAAGCAGAUGAUGCAGGCAACACAUGUCCUCCUCACCAGCUUCACCAAAACCACGGGCCCUGCCAUUAUUGCCACCACCACCGUGUCCCUCUUCUUUGGCGGUCUCCCCCUCCUCUUCACCCACCACCAUCAUCACCUCGGUCCAUGGAUCAUCGACUACAGUCCCUUAGGGGGCCGCUCCACUAUCGGUGGGUGCUUCCAAAUAGGCGCACACAUAUAGAACAUAGUGAGAUAUUUCAGCUCUACCCUCAAAAUUUGCCAACAAAUUGCAGAGAGUGAAGGUGUGCUCACUAGAGAGAGAGGAUGUGCUGAGACCAGUAGGAUGAUGGCGACAUUGCUCAUGGGGUGGGAUCCAUGGUGCUUGGUGCAGGUGGUGGGUGAGCUCGUGAAGAGAAGCGAGGGGCGGC
rnacentral:lncRNA from 1 species